CACAUGCAAGUCGAACGGUAACAUGAGUGCUUGCACUUGAUGACGAGUGGCGGACGGGUGAGUAAAGUAUGGGGAUCUGCCGAAUGGAAGGGGACAACAGUUGGAAACGACUGCUAAUACCGUAUAAUGUNGCGAGACCAAAGCAUGGGACUUUCGGGCCAUGCGCCAUUUGAUGAACCCAUAUGGGAUUAGCUAGUAGGUGGGGUAAGGGCUCACCUAGGCGACGAUCUCUAGCUGGUCUGAGAGGAUGACCAGCCACACUGGAACUGAGACACGGUCCAGACUCCUACGGGAGGCAGCAGUGGGGAAUAUUGCACAAUGGGGGGAACCCUGAUGCAGCCAUGCCGCGUGUAUGAAGAAGGCCUUCGGGUUGUAAAGUACUUUCGGUGAUGAGGAAGGCGGUGUAUCUAAUAGGUGCAUCGAUUGACGUUAAUCACAGAAGAAGCACCGGCUAACUCCGUGCCAGCAGCCGCGGUAAUACGGAGGGUGCGAGCGUUAAUCGGAAUGACUGGGCGUAAAGGGCAUGUAGGCGGAUAAUUAAGUUAGGUGUGAAAGCCCUGGGCUCAACCUAGGAAUUGCAUUUAAAACUGGUUAUCUGGAGUAUUGUAGAGGAAGGUAGAAUUCCACGUGUAGCGGUGAAAUGCGUAGAGAUGUGGAGGAAUACCGGUGGCGAAGGCGGCCUUCUGGACAGAUACUGACGCUGAGAUGCGAAAGCGUGGGGAGCAAACAGGAUUAGAUACCCUGGUAGUCCACGCUGUAAACGAUGUCGAUUUGGAGUUUGUUGCCUAGAGUGAUGGGCUCCGAAGCUAACGCGAUAAAUCGACCGCCUGGGGAGUACGGCCGCAAGGUUAAAACUCAAAUGAAUUGACGGGGGCCCGCACAAGCGGUGGAGCAUGUGGUUUAAUUCGAUGCAACGCGAAAACCUUACCUGGUCUUGACAUCCACAGAAUCUUGUAAAGAACCAGAGUGCCUUCGGAACUGUGAAAA
rnacentral:rRNA from 1 species